GGGGAAUAUUGCACAAUGGGCGCAAGCCUGAUGCAGCGACGUCGCGUGGAGGAUGAAGGUUUUCGGAUUGUAAACUCCUGUUAAACGGGAAGAAAGAGGCGUAGUUAAUAAGUACGCAAGAUGACGUUACCGUUAAAGAAAGCACCGGCUAACUUCGUGCCAGCAGCCGCGGUAAUACGAAGGGUGCGAGCGUUAUUCGGAAUAACUGGGCGUAAAGGGCGCGUAGGCGGCUUUUUAAGUUGACGGUUAAAAGCCAUGGCUUAACCAUGGAGAUGCCGGCGAUACUGGAAGGCUAGAGUAUGGUAGAGAGGAGUGGAAUUCUCGGAGUAGCGGUAAAAUGCGUAGAUCUCGAGAGGAACACCGAUGGCGAAGGCAGCUCCUUGGGCCAUAACUGACGCUAAGGCGCGAAAGCGUGGGGAGCAAA
rnacentral:rRNA from 1 species